rnacentral:rRNA from 1 species
UACGUAGGUGGCAAGCGUUGUUCGGAAUCAUUGGGCGUAAAGCGCGCGUAGGCGGCCCUGUAAGUCCGUUGUGAAAGUCAAAGGCUCAACCUUUGAAAGCCGAUGGAUACUGCAGGGCUAGAGUCCGGAAGAGGCGAGUGGAAUUCCUGGUGUAGCGGUGGAAUGCGCAGAUAUCAGGAGGAACACCAAUAGCGAAGGCAGGUCUCUGGGCCACUACUGACGCUGAGAAGCGAAAGCAUGGGGAGCGAACAGG